rnacentral:rRNA from 1 species
GAGUUUGAUCAUGGCUCAGAGUGAACGCUGGCGGCAGGCCUAAUACAUGCAAGUCGAACGGCAGCACAGCAGAGCUUGCUCUGUGGGUGGCGAGUGGCGGACGGGUGAGGAAUACGUGGGAAUCUGCCCAGUCGUGGGGGAUAACGUAGGGAAACUUACGCUAAUACCGCAUGCGCCCUUCGGGGAAAGCCGGGGACCUUCGGGCCUGGCGCGAUUGGAUGAGCCCACGUCGGAUUAGCUAGUUGGCGGGGUAAAGGCCCACCAAGGCGACGAUCCGUAGCUGGUCUGAGAGGAUGAUCAGCCACACUGGAACUGAGACACGGUCCAGACUCCUACGGGAGGCAGCAGUAGGGAAUAUUGGACAAUGGGCGCAAGCCUGAUCCAGCCAUGCCGCGUGAGUGAAGAAGGCCCUCGGGUUGUAAAGCUCUUUUGUCCGGAAAGAAAAGCGCCGGGUUAAUACCCUGGUGUCCUGACGGUACCGGAAGAAUAAGCACCGGCUAACUUCGUG